UGGUGGUGUGUAAUAGUGGUAUAUAGAUGGUGGUAUGUAAUAGUGGUAUAUAGAUAGUGGUGUGUAAUAGUGGUAUAUAGAUGGUGGUGUGUAAUAGUGGUAUAUAGAUGGUGGUGUGUAAUAGUGGUAUAUAGAUGGUGGUGUGUAAUAGUGGUAUAUAGAUGGUGGUGUGUAAUAGUGGUAUAUAGAUGGUGGUGUGUAAUAGUGGUAUAUAGAUGGUGUGUAAUAGUGGUAUAUAGAUGGUGGUGUGUAAUAGUGGUAUAUAGAGGGUGGUGGUGUGUAAUAGUGGUAUAUAGAUGGUGGUGUGUAAUAGUGGUAUAUAGAUGGUGGUGUGUAAUAGUGGUAUAUAGAUGGUGGUGUGUAAUAGUGGUAUAUAGAUGGUGGUGUGUAAUAGUGGUAUAUAGAUGGUGGUGUGUAAUAGUGGUAUAUAGAUGGUGGUAUGUAAUAGUGGUAUAUAGAUGGUGGUGUGUAAUAGUGGUAUAUAGAUGGUGGUGUGUAAUAGUGGUAUAUAGGUGGUGGUGGUGUGUAAUAGUGGUAUAUAGAUGGUGGUGGUGUGUAAUAGUGGUAUAUAGAUGGUGGUGGUGUGUAAUAGUGGUAUAUAGAUGGUGGUGUGUAAUAGUG
rnacentral:lncRNA from 1 species